GGAGCGAUGUGCGAGUGGUCAAGGAGUUUGACUCCAGAUCAGGUGGCUCUGCCCGCGUAGGUUCGAAUCCUGCUCGAUGCG
rnacentral:tRNA from 1 species